GAUGAACGCUAGCUACAGGCUUAACACAUGCCAGUCGAGGGGAAACGGCAUUAAGUGCUUGCACUUUUUGGACGUCGACCGGCGCACGGGUGAGUAACGCGUAUCCAACCUUCCCAUGACUAAGGGAUAACCUGCCGAAAGGCAGACUAAUACCUUAUGGUCUUCACUGACGGCAUCAGAUGUGAAGUAAAGAUUUAUCGGUUAUGGAUGGGGAUGCGUCUGAUUAGCUUGUUGGCGGGGUAACGGCCCACCAAGGCAACGAUCAGUAGGGGUUCUGAGAGGAAGGUCCCCCACAUUGGAACUGCGACACGGUCCAAACUCCUACGGGAGGCAGCAGUGAGGAAUAUUGGUCAAUGGGCGAGAGCCUGAACCAGCCAAGUAGCGUGCAGGAUGACGGCCCUAUGGGUUGUAAACUGCUUUUGUAUGGGGAUAAAGUCAAUCACGUGUGAUUGUUUGCAGGUACCAUACGAAUAAGGACCGGCUAAUUCCGUG
rnacentral:rRNA from 1 species